GAGCUCACUUUAGCAGCACAUAUAUUAAAACUGGAACAAAACAGAAAAGAUUAGCAUGGCCCCUGUGUAAUAAUGACAUGAGGAUCGGAGAGAUAGCUCAGUAGAAU
ensembl:snRNA U6 U6 spliceosomal RNA